CAGCAGCCGCGGUAAUACGGAGGAUCCGAGCGUUAUCCGGAUUUAUUGGGUUUAAAGGGAGCGUAGAUGGAUGUUUAAGUCAGUUGUGAAAGUUUGCGGCUCAACCGUAAAAUUGCAGUUGAUACUGGAUAUCUUGAGUGCCGGAGGGGUAAGCGGAAUUCCUAGUGUAGCGGUGAAAUGCGUAGAUAUUAGGAGGAACACCAGUGGCGAAGGCGGCUUACUGGACUGUAACUGACGUUGAGGCUCGAAAGCGUGGGGAGCAAACAGGAUUAGAUACCCUGGUAGUCCACGCCGUAAACGAUGAUUACUAGGUGUUGGUGGGUAUGACCCAUCGGUGCCGCAGCAAACGCAAUAAGUAAUCCACCUGGGGAGU
rnacentral:rRNA from 1 species